rnacentral:rRNA from 1 species
UGAGGAAUAUUGGUCAAUGGGCGGGAGCCUGAACCAGCCAAGCCGCGUGAGGGAAGAAGGCCCUAUGGGUCGUAAACCUCUUUUGUCAGGGAAACAAAAGCGAGUAUGUAUACUAGUCUGAGUGUACCUGAAGAAAAAGCAUCGGCUAACUCCGUGCCAGCAGCCGCGGUAAUACGGAGGAUGCGAGCGUUAUCCGGAUUUAUUGGGUUUAAAGGGUGCGUAGGCGGCGAUGCAAGUCAGCGGUAAAAGCCCGGGGCUCAACCCCGGCGAGCCGUUGAAACUGCAGUGCUAGAGAAGGCGAGAGGUACGCGGAAUGCGCAGUGUAGCGGUGAAAUGCUUAGAUAUUGCGCAGAACUCCGAUUGCGAAGGCAGCGUACUGGCGCCUGACUGACGCUGAGCACGAAAGCGUGGGGGAUCGAACAGGAUUAGAUACC